UCUCUCUCUCUUCUCUCUUUUCUCUCUCUCUCCCUCUCUCUCACACACACACACACACACACACACAGCUUCAACACACAUUCAUCUCCUUCAACAAACAUCACCUGCCUGCCUCUCUCUCUCUCUCUCAUCGUUUUCUCUCUCUAGUCUCCUAGAGUCCUAGAUACAAAGAAUAGCUUCAUUCUUCACACACACACACACA
rnacentral:lncRNA from 1 species